UGGGGAAUUUUGGACCAUGGGGGAAACCCUGAUCUAGCCAUCCCGCGUGUGCGAUGAAGGCCUUCGGGUUGUAAAGCACUUUUGGCAGGAAAGAAACGUCAUGGGUUAAUACCCCGUGAAACUGACGGUACCUGCAGAAUAAGCACCGGCUAACUACGUGCCAGCAGCCGCGGUAAUACGUAGGGUGCAAGCGUUAAUCGGAAUUACUGGGCGUAAAGCGUGCGCAGGCGGUUCGGAAAGAAAGAUGUGAAAUCCCAGAGCUCAACUUUGGAACUGCAUUUGUAACUACCGGGCUAGAGUGUGUCAGAGGGAGGUGGAAUUCCGCGUGUAGCAGUGAAAUGCGUAGAUAUGCGGAGGAACACCGAUGGCGAAGGCAGCCUCCUGGGAUAACACUGACGCUCAUGCGCGAAAGCGUGGGGAGCAAACAGG
rnacentral:rRNA from 1 species